UCCGGUCCUUCCAAGGAACAAAAAAAUUUCUACUCGGGGAGAGGUGGUAAGAGAAAAGCAACGAAAAUCCAUCCUAAAGUCUUCAAACUGACUAAAGAUAUUGAUUCCUACCUUGCUGAUGAAUCCGAUGACUAGUAUCCAUAACUUGUUACUUUUUAAUUAGAUGAUAUAGGAUAACUUUAUUCUAAAAUUAGUUUAGUUUAUAUUGUUCCAUUACUAUUAUUUAUAACUAUAUCGUUCAGCUUAUUUUUGUCAUUUUGGCGUAAAUUGUUUAUGAUACUUUGUAAAGUAUCAAUAUUAUUUUAUGCUGCUAUUAGUAUUACUAUUUUAUUUCCUCAAUAAAUGGUUUUAUUAACGUAAA